GACGAACGCUGGCGGCGUGCUUAACACAUGCAAGUCGAGCGGAGCGGCGAACGGGUGAGUAACGCGUGAGUACCUGCCCCCCUCUCUGGGAUAACAGUCGGAAACGGAUGCUAAUACCGAAUAGUGGGGGAUGACUCGCGUGCUAUCAGCUUGUUGGUGGGGUAGGGGCCUACCAAGGGGACGAUGGGUAGCCGGCCUGCGAGGGCGACCGGCCCCAUUGGGCUGAGGGACGGCCCAAACGCCGACGGUGGGCAGUAGUGGGAAAUAUUGCGCAAUUGUGGAAACUCUGAUGCGGAAACGCCGCGUGCGGAAUGACGGCCUUCGUGUUGUAAAGCGCUGUCAGCCAUGACGCGGUAGUGGCAGAAGAAGCACCGGCUAACUACGUGCCAGCCGCCGCGGUAAUAC
rnacentral:rRNA from 1 species